rnacentral:misc_RNA from 1 species
GCCGGCGUCAUUGUCAGCUCCUUUUAAAUGGAUUAGCAGGACUAUGUAGGACCAGCUCGGUUUGAUAAUACUUUUAUCUAUGCUGUCGCUGAGAAUCGUUUGUUCAGCUUCUAACUGUCCCUUCUGUGGGACUGUCUCCUUGCUGAGGCAUAACCUUGACUCUUGACCUCAAAUCAGGUAGGACUACCCGCUGAACUUAA